UACAGAGGGUGCGAGCGUUAAUCGGAAUUACUGGGCGUAAAGCGUGCGUAGACGGUUACAUAAGUCGGGUGUGAAAGCCCCGGGUUCAACCUGGGAAUUGCAUUCGAGACUGCGUAGCUAGGGUGCGGAAGAGGGAAGCGGAAUUUCCGGUGUAGCGGUGAAAUGCGUAGAUAUCGGAAGGAACACCAGUGGCGAAAGCGGCUUCCUGGUCCAGCACCGACGUUCAGGCACGAAAGCGUGGGGAGCAAACAGGG
rnacentral:rRNA from 1 species